CAGGGAGCCCACCUAUGGGGAAGUGUUUCCAGCCCGGCUGCCCAACAGUGUGGGGAGGGCAGUGGGGCAUUGCCCCAUGGCUGCAGGACACAGCCACGCACCUGAGGGAUCUUCUGUGCCAGCGUGGUGGUGGUCAGCAUGCUCUGGAAGCAAAGCGCAGCCCUUCAGCUGAGAUUUCUGGUGCCCGGAGCUGCCGAGCUGCUCACCUGUCAGUGAGACCAGCUGCUCGUUUGGGAAAAGGAGCAACUUGGAGACGCCCAGGCAAAGCUACAGGAUAAAGAACAAACCCAGAGAGGAUGGAUCUGGAGGACUUGCUGGAUGAAAGCAGCAGAAUGGAGGAGGUUAGGCAGUGCCAGCUCGGCCAAGGGACCCAAAAAGCAUUCAGAGACAUCGUUAUCACUACUUUCUGUCAUCUGUUAAACUGUGACUACAGUUUGGAAACCAGAAAUACUGAAGACGUGCCGCUAGUCUUGUACUAAAAAUGUUCCUGCUCAGUGCUUGGAAACUUCUGCUCCCUUCUGAGAGAAUGAAACCCUAUUAUGAGAGAGGUGAGGACAAUGCUGCAAACAGAACAAAGCUUCCGCCUUGAAGCUAAAGUGUUUCUGUUAACCUUUGUAACCUUUCAGGUCAGCAAUCAGCUCUUGGUCCUUCCUGCACAGCAUUGCUUGUUGCUCUGUGUCUUUUCCCCUAUUCACCCAACCCCAUGCCCAAGGAAACCCAGGGCCGACCUUUCUUCCUUCCUGGUGCUCUGUGCCCGCACGGUGGGUCUGCAGGCAGAGGUCAGCAGCCGCAGGUUGCCAUCGGGGCCCAGGUCCACGUGGAGGUCAGCCUGGAUGGAGAGCCUGGCCGGCUUGGGCACGGCACUGCGGGGGGAGGCAGAGCUGGGGCUGCCCUGUGGUGCAGAGCUGUGCUGUUGCCCCACUGCCCCACACCACGGGUGGACGUGACUCACAGCAGGGGUGCGAUGCCCAGCUCCACCUCGAUGCCCAGCCGCAGCUCGGCCUCUGGGAUGAGCGUCAGCUGCAGGUCAACCACUUUUACAGAGGUAAUUCGGUCCCUGCUCGAGGAAAUGUGGGUGUAAGGAGCCCUGUGCUGCUCCUGCCCCAGGGUCUAUGGGAUUGGUGCACUGCACCUGAGGGUGGCACCAGGGCCGAUGCCAUCAGAUCCCAAAGGAGGAGCCAGGAGCUUGCUUCCAUAUAGACGUUUUAAACUGUAGUGUCAAUUCCCAGGACAAUUUUUGCUUUUAUUUCUUAUGAUAUUCCAGGUGCUCUGGCAAAACCCCCACGUGAAGCAGCAAAGCCCUGGGUGAGGCAGAGCCAGGCCCUCACCUGCUGGGGUCUGUGGAGCCAAGGAACAGGUCUGAGGCUCUCAGGGCCAUCAGGUCCCAUCUGAGGGCCACCUCUGCAUGCGGCUUCGAGAUUUCAGCAACUGCAAAAUAGAGCAGACACCUUGUGAGAUGCUCCCAAGCCUGCGAUCCCAUGCACAGGGAUGGAUGGUCUGAAAUCUGCCCCAGUAGUGCACUCCCCCCUCUUCCUAAACCCCUCUAUUUCCAAACGAUGGCUGAAAACGAUCCAAUUCCCGGUGCAGCAGUAUCAAUGCGCUGUCCCACUGCAUGGCUGGAAGGUGUCCCCCCCCCUGCCCCAUUGCAGGCUGGGGGACACGUACUUACGGUAGCUCAAUCCCAGGGGGGUGAGGAUGCCCCCACAGUCGGGUGCCCUGGUGGUCUGCACAGGGUCCAGGAGGGCCAGGAGGGCACCCAGGGUGCAGAGCAGGGGCAUGGCGCUGCCUGCGGGAGGGGGAUGUGAAAAGCAUUUUGGAAUUGCUGGUGCACUGUAGGUUGUGAUGCCCUCCACGCAACACGAGAACAACUCGUGUCUGUGUCAGCCUUGGCAGGGGAGGGCCUCCGCUCAGCGCCGACGCUCUGAGACCACCCAGGUACGCGCUCCCAUCACUCUCACUGCGUGAACGCAACUUUACCUUUCCUGUUUGCUUCUCCCAUCCUCCCGGGUCCGUCUGUGUCUUGCUGUGGCUGCAAAAAGGACUUGUGGUGGCUUUAUAUAUCUGCCUAACUGGGGCUGGUGGGGGGCAGAAAUUGGCAGAGAGGGCAGGAGGGGGCGUGCCGGGCGGCGGCGCUUUGUUUUCUGUGCCAUUUUUAUUGUUUCCCAUAGACCUGAUGACAUUGGCCAUCGUCCCAGCAGGGUGACAUAUGGAGCAGCAGGUGCUCGGGCAGCUUGCCUCCAUUGUGGGGCUACUGAGAGCACAAAGAAAGGUCCCAGCUCCCAACUUGGAGGCACAACUGCUGCCGGAGGGGCUGCUCAGCCUUGUUGCAGCAUCGGUAAUCCCAGCAGCACUGGAGAUGCAUUUGCAGUGUUACCAUCAUCUAGAGGGGCACAAGUGCGUGGGGCUGAGCUGAUGGGACAGAAGGGUGCUGCAGUGCUUGGAUGUGGGUGUUCUGCUCUUCAAGAGCUGCUCUGGACCUGGCGGUCCCCGUGGAGGCUUAAUGAGAUGUCAGCUUCCAGCAGUGACUGAGCGAGUGACUGGCACGAAGGUGUGAUGGGCUCCUCAAUGGGAGUCAUCUAUAAAUCCUACACUCCCGUUAGAUGAGAUGUAAAUCUCCCUGUCUGCGCUUAGAGCCACUGAGUAUAUCACGGCGGGAGGUAACGACAGAUUAAGCCCCGUGACAUGUUUUAUAUGGAGAUGAAGAGAAGAAAUAAAUUCCGUGGUGCUGCAGGAUCCCAGCAGGGUGGGCUCUGGGUGACAUGGGGCAGCCACAGCGCUGCCUGGGGUUCCCCCCGCUGCCCCCAGCUCCUCCACUGGCACUUGCAGGAGUUCCAUGGAUCUGGGGAGCAGGUGGCUCAUCCCAAGGGACACUCACACCCCAUCUGUGUCCCCAGAGGCAGAAUUCAUCGUCAGCAGAUCGGUUUUUCUCUUUCAGAUGCCACACGUGAAGCUCUGUGGGCCCCUUCUGAGUGUUGAGCAAUAGGGUCAGGAGCUCCACCCCACAGCUGCGGCGCCGGCGCUUACCCCAACCUUCAGCUUACUAGUGAAAUAAUUUGUGUUGGAAGGUGGACGAAACACGGAGGGAUUAGCUUUAUAUCACAGUAAACCUCCGGAGCUGGACGCACGCUGGUGCCAGCUGUGACCAUGCUGUGGUGCCUUUUGCUGCUCGGGGGCUGCCUGGCUGCAUCACCAAGGGCUGGGGGUUCAGGGGCUGUCCUCAGGAUGGAUGUCAGAACCAUCGGCCACGCAUUGUCUCCCCACCCCCCACCCUGGGGCAUCUGUGCUAAACCCCUUCUGCGAAUGUUCCAGCGAUCUCCACCGCACUGAACGAGAGCGAUGUUCUCCAGAAGCUGGGAGAGGGAGCGACAAAAAAAAAGGCAGAUACGAAACCCAUCAAAGGCAUCUCCGGGCUGAAGGUGAUGGAGCUCCGUGCCACGGAGGUAGCGCUGCAGCUCUCGCCCGCUGUGGGGAUCUCCAUGGAUGUGCUGGUCCAGAUGACCCUCAAGGGGAAAAGAUUCAUAGGAGGAAAAAUGGAGAUCCCGGUGGCCGCCAACCUGAGCGCCAGCAGCCGGAUGGUGCGGGACAUGCAGGGCUGUCCCCGGCUCAGCACCGGACGCUGCCACGUGGCACUGCUCUGCAGCUGGACCAACGUGCCCCCCCGUUGAAUCCAGGCUGGCCCUAUCUGUGUCAUCCCAUGCAGCACCCAUUUUUGGCCAAAGUCCUUGUGGAAGUGCUGUGCUGCUUUCAGGCUUGUUUAAAGCCAAAAGAUGGCAUUCCUGAGAAAAGUUUUCUAUAUGGGGAAAUACCUUCUGCUGCACACCAGGCAUGCUUUGGCCUAAUCCAUGCCAGCUGGGUGUCCUUAUCACCUGACUUCCUGGCAUUUCGGUCUGCAGUCAGCACGCAUUGCCUCGUGGCCAUGCUGGCUGAUGGUGUGUUCUCUCUGCCCAGCAUGCUGCCCCUGGUCGUGAGCACCCUCCAGAAAGCGCUGCGCGACUUGCUGUGUCCAGCCAUGGACAUGGUGCUCGACCUCGUGAACGCAAAGUUUGCCACCAUGAUGUAUGCUAUCCCUCUUGGGAAUGCUGGGAUGCUCCAAUAUGCCCUCCUGAAUCCCCCCACGGUGACAGAAGCAUUCAUCCAGCUGGAGCUGAAGACCAUUCUCCGCAGCAAGGAGGGAGAGGAGGUUGCCCUGCCCACAGACCUGCCACCUCUCACUUCCUUCCCCCCAAAGAGGGAAGCUACCACCCAGCUUGUGCUGGCUGCGAGCUUCCUGAAUGCUGAGCUCUCUGUCAUGCAGGCAUCCUUUGGCCUGAACAUCACCAAUGGCAUGGUUCUGGGGCUUCUCCCGCUGGUGACCACAAUGCUGGGAGCCCUCAUCCCUGAGGUGGGUGUACUUUGUGCAGUCCUGCUGCUCUCUGGCCAUCUCAGGCCAUUGAUGAUCUCCAGCAUGCUGCCUCCAUCCCGGCCGGUGGUGAUUGAAAUGCAAGAGGCGCAACCACCGCUGGUGACAAUAACCCCAGAGAAAAGCACCGUGCACCUCUACAGCACUGCCGAGUUCUGGGCUUCCACUCCUGGCUCUGCUCCUGAAUCCCUCUUUGUCCUGGAUGUGCACUCUGAGCUGGGUGUACGGUUUGCUGUCGCUGAAGAGAGGCUGCAGUUCUCCCUGAUGCUGCACAGGUGCUGUCGCUGAGAGGAGCCCUGGCAGACAUUAUUCAUGUGGCUUACGUGCCAUCCAUCAACAGAGCACUGCGAGGAGGGGUCCCGCUGCCCCCGCUGCUGGGCGCCCCGUACCAGCACGUGGAGCUCAGGCAGAUGCAGGAUGGGCUGGUGCUGGACGUGCCCGUGGCAGAGCACUGAUGAAUGAGGAGGGACGGCUGCACCCGGAGGGUGGGAGGGGGCUGCGCUCCUGGGGGCUCCUUCCUCUCCCCUCGGCUUUUCAAUUUUUCAGCUCUCUGAGCUAAAAUAAAGAGAGCUGGUAGCCCAGUGAUGGACUCUGGUGCUGCGUGUUGGAUAUUAGGGGAAAUUUCUUCUCCAAAAGAGUGGUGAUGCUCUGGCACAGGCUGCUCGGGGAGGUGGGUGCUCACCGUCCCUGGAGGUGCUCCAGAGCUGUGGAGAUGUGGCACUUUGGGACACAGUCAGUGGGCACGGUGGGGCAGGUUGCAGUGUGUUUUAGUAUUUCAGGAGCACCUCCUGCCACGGCCAUCAGCUGCAGUGCAGGUAUCGAUCCCGAGCGUAUCGCUCACUUAUUGCUGGAUAAUUACAUGUCAUUAGUAGGUCAAUAAACAGCUUCGAUCCCCA